AAACGUUUACCAUUAUUACUUGCACGAAAUAUAGGUGACCUGUGUAAUCCUGAAGUAUGGUGUGUAUCUCGUGUAUUGUGAUACCUGUACUACUGUGGGUGUACCACCGCUUCCUCAAGCCGGUCCUUGAUCCCCUGUUGUCCAAGCUCCUGCCUGGUGUGUUUAGUUCCAGCCAGGCAAUCAAGCCUGUCCAGGAAAGUGAAAGUCCCCAGAAAUGUCCCCUAGCCAAUGGACAUGCAGCAGGUCCAGCUGAGAAGAAAGAACAGUAGGAGAGAAGACGGGGAUACAUGUAGGGGGACCAGGAGAUGACAACUGAAGAGACACCUAGUGAUCAGAUGUAGUACUGCAUACAUGUAAUCAGAUAUCAGGGCUCGAAAUACUUUUUUCAGCAUACCUGCACUGGUGCAGGUAACAUUAAAAAUUACCUGCACCAGAUAAAUCUUACCUGCCCCACUCUGAAUUUAGGAAGCAUGGAUCAUACUAAAAUUGUUCAGGAGCCAUUUUUUAAUACUUAAUUAGUGGUAACAGUCCCUAUUCACCUACAUCAUAGGACAUUUAUGUAUAAAACCCAGUAUAUAGACCAGUGCAGGUUAGGUGCAGGUAGACACCAGAAAUACCUGCACAGAUCCAAUUUUACCUGCACUAACCUGCAUAUGCAGCCCUGGAUAUAGUGCUGUGUACCUGUACAUAGGACUGGAACUGGAAUUAUAAACAUAUGAAAUCUAAGUAUACAUAUAAUUCUGCAUGCAUACUUUUAAAAUUACAUGUAAAAUUCAUGCCAAUAUGCAAUUUGCAAUUAGACAUGUAACUGAAGAAACGUUCAGUGUAUUUCUACUAUUCUAGCACACAUAUAUAUGCCAUGGGUUAAGGUCCCUACUUACAAAUCCAGACCUGAAUCCAGACAAUACAAAUCAGAUAUGGUUCUGUUAAUAUGGCCUUCAAACUGAAGUCACUCUCCAAAAUGCUAGGAAACACAUGUACCCAUAUUUAUCAAAGACAGUACAGUAAAGGAAAACACUAUGUACAUGGAUACUCGUAUCCAAAUUUUUAUUUAUUCACAUAAGUACCAUGUUUGCAACAUUUAAGUGUGUAAUGAUGGACCACAAUAUCAUUGUCUGUAGUGUAGAAUUUGUCUCAUUAAUCCCUAUCAAGGACUAGAUAUAUGGGAGCAGAGGCACAGAAUUUUUCUCAUAAAAGAAGGUCUGAAGAUUGUAAAAAAUAUCAUUAAACCUAACACAAAAGGUUCAGA